UACGUAGGGUGCGAGCGUUGUCCGGAAUUAUUGGGCGUAAAGAGCUCGUAGGCGGUGUGUCACGUCGGCCGUGAAAACCUGCAGCUUAACUGUGGGCGUGCGGUCGAUACGGGCAUCACUGGAGUUCGGCAGGGGAGACUGGAAUUCCUGGUGUAGCGGUGAAAUGCGUAGAUAUCAAGAGGAACACCUGAGGUGAAGACGGGUUGCUGGGCCGACACUGACGCUGAGUGCGCGAAAGCCAGGGGAGCAAACGGG
rnacentral:rRNA from 1 species